UCUAUGAACUUGCUGAGUGGUUUUCUGAUUCUCCUGAUCUUGUUUUUGUGCCUGACCCUUAGCCUGUACAUUUGGACCUUGUCUUUUGCCUUACCCCUUUGGUUUUGUUUGCCUGUUUUUGGAUUCCUGGUUUUGACCUUUUUGCUUGUUUUGAUUACCUCCCGUAUUGGAUUAUCCUUCUGCUUUUGUUUGUCUUGUGUCAUGAUCACUCUGGUGAUCGUUUAUACGGUUUUGGUUUCGACCCACGCCUGCCUUUGGACUGCCCCACGGUUUCACAUGGCCAAUGACUUAAAGCAACCCAAGAAUUAUAGAAGGCAAAGAAGUGGAAUGUUCUGCAAUGGUCAAGUUAGUCAACUAACCUUAGUCCAAUCAAGCAUGACUGUCACUUACUGAAGACAGAACUGAAGGAAAAAUGCCCCAAGAAUAUGGUACUGAAGAUGGUUGCAGUAAAGGCCUUGCAGAGCAUCACCGGGUUCCAGACUUCGGUCAGUCAUUGGCUGCAUAGCUUUUGCAACCAAGUAUUAAAAGUAACAAUUUCAUUUA